GGAUGUGAGGGUCAAUUGGCUGCAACAUCUGUCACCCCACUGAUUGCCAGGGUUGAUUUGGCUCUCUGGGUGGGUGUCCCCUUCCUCCCUCACAGCUCCAUGUGAGUCCCUCCUGAAGCCGCACAUUCAGUGGAAGAGGACAACCUUCCUUGAUAGAGGAAGAAAUGUUCUUAAGGGUAUGGGAGUAGCUGCUGGAACCCCCCCCCAACAAACCAACAGAAAAACGUGAAGCCUCCAAAUGCCUCAUGCCUGCUUUUCUCUAUUU
ensembl:misc_RNA 7SK 7SK RNA